UUUGAUCCUGGCUCACAUUGAACGCUGGCGGCAGGCCUAACACAUGCAAGUCGAACGGUAACAGGAAGCAGCUUGCUGCUUCGCUGACGAGUGGCAGACGGGUGAGUAAUGUCUGGGAAACUGCCUGAUGGAGGGGGAUAACUACUGGAAACGGUAGCUAAUACCGCAUAACGUCGCAAGACCAAAGAGGGGGACCUUCGGGCCUCUUGCCAUCGGAUGUGCCCAGAUGGGAUUAGCUUGUUGGUGGGGUAACGGCUCACCAAGGCGACGAUCCCUAGCUGGUCUGAGAGGAUGACCAGCCACACUGGAACUGAGACACGGUCCAGACUCCUACGGGAGGCAGCAGUGGGGAAUAUUGCACAAUGGGCGCAAGCCUGAUGCAGCCAUGCCGCGUGUAUGAAGAAGGCCUUCGGGUUGUAAAGUACUUUCAGCGGGGAGGAAGGGAGUAAAGUUAAUACCUUUACUCAUUGACGUUACCCGCAGAAGAAGCACCGGCUAACUCCGUGCCAGCAGCCGCGGUAAUACGGAGGGUGCAAGCGUUAAUCGGAAUUACUGGGCGUAAAGCGCACGCAGGCGGUUUGUUAAGUCAGAUGUGAAAUCCCCGGGGCUCACCUGGGAACUGCAUCUGAUACUGGCAAGCUUGAGUCUCGUAGAGGGGGGUAGAAUUC
rnacentral:rRNA from 1 species